AAAUGUCGAGACUGACGUCAUAAGCGAUGAUUUCGAAGCGAAAUACAAGUUUGGCCAGUGAGGGCGUUGUCAAAGCGUGCUGCUAAAAAUUCUGAGUUUGGAGUUGUUUUGUUGCCCGACGAUGCCAUUGAUUUUGGUUUAAAAUUGUAUACAAGCCCAAUGAUACUGAACCUGCACAGUUGCACGGUACUUUACAUGGACUUGGCUAGUUCUGUCGUCGAUGGUGUCAGGGGUUGUACGUCACAUUCAAGUUCAGUAUCAGCUUGAAGGUUAUAGAAGAUAACGCAGUCACCAUGAGUGAGGUCCAGCCGGAUGAUUCGGUGAGCCAAGCAGGGCAAGGCUCCGCCAUAACUACCAGUAGUUCAUCCAAGGUGAAAGCUAUGGCAAAGAAGGCAGCCCUUUUGGCUGAAAUGGAGGCUCUUAGACUUCGACAAGAGUUGGAACUUGAAGAGCUUAAGCUUAAGCAAAGGAAAGAUGACUUGGAAAUACAGACAAGGCUUAAGGUGAUGGAGGCUGAAGGACGAGUUUACAGUCAGUUCGAUAAUGGCUCUAAGAUUAGCAGUCAUGUGAUAGCCUUCAAGACUCAGUCUGCUGAAUCGGACAAAUGUAAAGCCACCCAGGCUAAGAGUGAUGUCGCCAAGGAUGUUGGCGGAGAUGAAAGCACGUUGCCUUAUAAGCUUGAACAGUCUCCUAAGAUGAUGGAUGAUCCUGUUGGGAUGACAGCUUCUACGCCCAAGGAGACAUCUCCAUCAAAGAGUCAGCUUGACAUGGAGAUAUUAAGACAUUUGCAGAUGGGUCAAGCAAGCCAGCAGCAGCUUCUAGCAUCUAUCAACUCACCCAAUGCUGAAUUGAUGAAGUUUGAUGGUGAUCCGCUGAAGUAUUAUGAGUUUGUACAGUCAUUCGACUGUAUGAUAGGCGAUACCUUGUUGUCGAGCAGCGGUAAGCUAAUGAGGCUGUACAGUUGUUGCGAAGGCGCAGCAAGGAAGGUUAUACAGUGCUGUAUGAUGAUGGUACCAGACCAAGGUUACGUCCGGGCUCGAGAACUUCUGGACGAGAGGUUUGGAGAUAGUUUUAAGAUAGGAGAAGCCUGGCUGAGGCGAGUGACAGAAGGCCCAAUAAUUACAAGUAACUGUAAGCAGUUGAGAGAGUUCGCUGAUGAACUGCAGUCGUGCACUGAGACACUAAGAGUGCUAGGUAUUAUUCAAGAGAUGAAUUCUCAGAGAGAGCUGCUGAAGGUAAUCGAGAGGCUACCCUAUGCCUUGAGGACUAGGUGGGUAAGAGAAGUUAAACAUAUCAGAGACUUAGGAAGACCACCAAACAUUUGUGAUGUUGUUGCAUAUGUUAAGAAUGCUGCUGAUGAGAUGAGUGAUCCUGUCUAUGGAACAUUGCUUCAAGGAUCGAAGGAAGGUCGUAACUUCAAAGCCAAAGAAAAGACUUCUUCAUCCUUUCAUCGCCAGCAAGCUCCAAAGUCCAACUUCUCAACUUCUCUCAGCUCAUCAAAGUGUAUGAUCUGUGGUGAUAAUCAUGGAUUGUUCAGCUGCCCACAGUUUAAGACAAUGAAUCCUGAACAACGAUUUCAAUAUGCUCGAGACCAGAGGUUGUGUUUCAACUGUCUUCAGCCAGGGCACAUGUCAUCCAAGUGCUCAUUGAACCGGACCUGUUCUGUCAAGGGCUGUAAGAUGAAGCACACUAAGUUCCUUCAUACUGGGAAGCAGCUCGUAUCUAGUGAAGGAAGGUCUAGAGAAGGCAAGAAUUCUUACAAGAAGACAGAGAAAGAUAGUUUUCAUUCAGCAACUCAAACAGAAGACUGUGUGCCUGGUGAAUCUUUGUCAUCACAUACAAGCAGUGAAGUCAGAGGGGCCGGAGGGUUUCGAGUGGCUCUUCCUAUUGUGCCUGUCAAGGUACGAGCUACAGAUGGAGACGUAAUCGUAGAGACAUUUGCACUCCUGGACUCUGGCUCGACCACUUCCUUUUGUCUCAAGGAAUUACAAGAGGUGCUUCAAGCUAAAGGCAGAAGUAAGAUUCUAUCUGUAUCUACCCUACAGAACAGAAACAGCCAGAUGAGAUGUGAUGCAGUGAAUCUGAAAGUCAUGGGAUAUGCUUCGGACACAGAGUUAGACGUGAGGGUAUUUACUCGUCCUGACUUGAACAUUAGCAUCUCUAAUAUGGCGACAGAAGCCGACAUAUCCAAUAGUUCACACUUAAAGGAUCUUGCCUUUCCAGAGAUAAGUAAAAGCCAGGUCACAAUGAUAAUUGGGCAAGAUGUACCUCAGGCGUUGAUGCCGCUUGAAGUCAGAGCAGGUAAGCCUGGUGAGGUUUACGCAGUUCGAACCAUUCUGGGAUGGACUCUAAAUGGACCGCUCAGAGAGAGAGGAGCUCCAAGUAAUGCAAGAAUUAAUGUCUCUUCAAACUAUGUCUCUGAUCAAUUUGGACUGGAACUAGAAGAUCAAGUCAAGAGUUUUUGGAAACUUGAGGGAAUGGAGUAUCUCCACGAUGAUAGCAGAGGCAUGUCUGUGAACGAUCAGAUGGUACUCAAGCUCUGGAAGGAAGGGAUAUCCAUGGACAUAGGUCAUUACCAAUUGCCUAUUCCCUUUCGAGAUGAGAAUUUGCAGUUGCCUGAGAACCUUUUCUUGGCAGAACGACGCCUUGAGUCACUGAGAAAGAAACUUAAGAGAGACGAUUACCUACUCAGCAAGUAUAAGGAAGGAAUGUCCAGCCUUCUUGAGAAGGGGUAUGCUGAGAAGGUGGAUACCACUGUAAGAGCUCAGACUGAGGAAAAGCAGAAUGUAUGGUACCUUCCUCACCAUCCUGUGGUCAACCCCAAGAAGCCGGGUAAGGUACGGAUUGUCUAUGAUUGUGCUGCGAAGUCAAACCAGGUAUCACUGAAUGACGUUGUGCACCAAGGCCCGGAUCUGACAAACAAGUUGACAGGGGUACUGUUAAGGUUUAGAAAGGAUCCAAUUGCCUUAACAGCUGACAUUGAGGCAAUGUUCCAUCAGGUUCGAGUUCCCCCUUCUGAGAGAGACGUUCUACGAUUCCUGUGGUGGCCGUCAGGAGAUAUGUCAGUAGAGCCACAUGUAUACCGCAUGUGCGUACAUCUGUUUGGAGGGACAUGGAGUCCUAGUGCCUGCAGUUUUGCCCUUCGUCAGACGGCAAUUGACAAUCAGCAAGACUUUGGGCCUGAGACGAUAGAGACUGUUCUUCAACAUUUUUACGUUGACGAUUGCCUUGUAUCGACAGACACUGAGGAGAGAGCUAUUAAGUUAGCAGUUGAACUUCGAGAACUACUUAGCAGAGGGGGAUUCAAUCUCACUAAGUGGAUGAGUAAUAGCCCAGCUGUUGUUGAGUCUAUACCAGUAGAUGAGAGGGCUAAGGAGUUGUCUGGAGUAGAUUUGAAUUACGAUGCUCUCCCAGUUGAUCGUGCUCUAGGCAUAACCUGGAAUGUCGAAACAGAUUGUUUUGGGUACAAGAUCUUACCGAAGGGCAAGCCCUUCACAAGACGAGGAUUACUAAGUGUCGUCUCGUCAACUUACGAUCCGAUGGGAUUUGCAAGUCCAUUUGUAGUAAGAGGAAAACUAAUUCUGCAAGAACUUUGUCGGAAAGAGUUAACCUGGGAUGAUCCAAUUCCUGUAGUCGACAAAGAGAAGUGGCUAAUCUGGCUCAAUGAAUUACCAGACAUAGAACAGUUCACAGUUAACAGGUGCAUUAGACCCCAUGGAUUUGCGGAACCAGUCAAGUAUGAUUUGCAUCAUUUCUCUGAUGCAUCUGAAGGAGCAUAUGGGGCAGCAUCUUAUCUGGUAUCUAGGACUGGAGAUCAUCAGAUGCACAGUGAGCUCUUGAUGGCGAAAUCUCAUCUUGCUCCAAUCAAGAAGUCAACAAUCCCGCGUCUGGAGCUGUCUGCUGCAGCAAUAAGUGUGAAGCUGGAUGCCUUUCUAAGACGAGAACUUAAUGUACCAGUGGAUAGUUCUCACUUCUGGACGGACAGUACCAUUGUCUUAGGGUACAUCGGAAACAAAGAGAAACGAUUCAGGACCUUUGUUGCCAAUAGAGUAGCAGCAAUUAGGAGCUACUCUAAUCCACAGCAAUGGCACUUUGUGGACUCCAAAUCCAAUCCAGCCGAUGAUGUGUCAAGGGGACUGUCUGCGAAGGAUCUUCUAGCUAGUGAGAGAUGGGUACAUGGUCCUGAUUUCUUAGUGCAAGGGAAGGAGAACUGGCCCACAAGUCCAAUAGAAGCGGGAAACCUGUUAGACAAUGAUCCAGAGGUCAAAUUAGUCAAAGAUGCCAGUACCUUCGGCACAGCAGUAGAUGAAGGAAGACUCAUGGAUAGAAUGAUUGCCCACUACUCAUCAUGGUACAGGCUAAAGAGGGCAGUCUGUUGGGUGACCAAGUUUCUGAAGUGGCUUAAAGCUAAGAGAAAGCUUCCCAAACCUGACGAGGGAAGUGAACCCAGUAGGAUAACUUUAGAUGAGAUGAACUAUGCAGAGCAGAAAAUCCUGCAGUAUGAACAGUCACGUUUCUUUGAGGAAGAAAUUAAUCUACUAACUGCUCAAGAUGGUGUAAAGAAAUCUAGCAGCAUCUACAAGCUAGAUCCAAAAAUGGUAGGAUGCCUGAUCCGGGUUGGAGGAAGGUUGAGCAGGUCUGCGUUGCCAUUGGAAGCAAAGCAUCCUAUCGUGCUUCCCAAGGAAAGCCCUGUGUCUCUAUUGAUAUUGAGAGAGAUACAUGAGAAAUGUGGACACAGUGGAAGAAACUACAUUCUGUCGACACUUCGUGAGAAGUACUGGUUGCCUGGUGCAGGAGCUAAAAUCAGAAAGAUGAUAGGGAAAUGUGUGUCUUGCAGACGGCAUAGAGCAAAGAUUCUACAGCAGAAAAUGGCUGAUCUGCCCAAGGACAGAGUGACGCCUGAUGACCCACCAUUCUCUAAAGUAGGCAUGGACUUCUUUGGGCCUAUUGAAGUUAAAAGAGGAAGGAGUAUGGUCAAGCGUUACGGAGUAAUUUUCACAUGCCUAGCCAUUCGAGCUGUUCAUAUUGAAAUGGCUUCGUCUUUGGACACUGAUUCCUGUAUUGAUGCUAUACGACGCUUUAUAGCUCGAAGAGGCAAUGUGAGAGAGAUAAGAUCAGAUAAUGGAACCAAUCUUGUUGGUGCCGAAAGGGAACUAAGACGAGAGAUAGAAGGAUGGAAUCAAGCCAAGCUAGAUGAAGAGCUACUCCAGAGAAACAUUAAGUGGUCAUUCAAUCCACCUGGAGCGUCACACUUUGGUGGAAUCUGGGAGAGACAAAUUGGCACAGUGAGGAAAUUGAUCCUCGCCUUGACGAAGCAGCAAACACUAUCAGAUGAAAGUUUGAGUACGCUACUCUGUGAAGUCGAAAGUAUCAUCAACAACAGGCCCAUUACCAGACUUUCUGAUGACGCGAAUGAUGUAGAAGCCUUGACGCCAAAUCACCUGCUUCUGCUCAAUAGAAGACCUCAACUUCCUCCAGCAUUGACUGAUAAGACUGACGUGUAUGCGAAAAGAAGGUGGCGUCAUGUGCAAUACAUGGCAGACCUUUUUUGGCGACGCUGGCUGAAGGAGUAUUUGCCACAACUGCAGGAGAGGGAAAAAUGGGUGUCAUCGCAUCGCAAUGUGAAAGUUGGUGACCUUGUGCUGGUUGUGGACCAGAAUCUACCGCGUAAUCUGUGGCUGUUGGGUAGAGUGCUCAAAACCAUGCCCGACAGAGAAGGUCUUGUCCGUAGCGCAGAGAUCAAAACGAGGAAUAGUGUUCUUGUUAGGCCAAUCGCAAAGCUGUGUUUAAUUUUAGAAGCAGAUGUGUGAAAUUCUUUGGAUAAAUAAAACAAAACACAGCUUCAUAUUUCAGUGCUAGGAAGUUACCAAAUAUUGUUCAAAUUUAAGAUAGAAUACAUACCAAAAAAUACCUUUUUGUGGAAAGCCAUUUUGAUUAUGUUUAGUUUUACAACAAAUAUUUGUGAUAAAAUGAGUUGUAGCGUUCAACCCACUUGUGAGACCCUAUCGCGUUGUGAGUUCCAAAAGCAAAGGGAACAGAGGAUGUGUCGCGUUGAGAUAAACAUAGUCGCAUGCUAAUACAAGAUGAACACAGUUGCCUUCUAAUACAACAUGAACAUAGUCGCGCUUUAAGACAAGAUGAAUAUAUUCGCGUACGAAGACGAGACAAGCAAGUUGGACAAUUUUUGUUAAACGGACUUAUCGAAUAUCGAUGCAAGCGAUUGAGAUAAAUUUAAUAUCCAAGAUGGACGCUUUCGAGCCAGUGAUGCACUGCAUUUGAAGAAGGACAUUUAAGAACAUUUAAUAUUUCAUAUUGAAUGAGUAUAUGUUGGUUGACUACGGUGUUGGUUUUGUUUUGUAUAAGACCUUUAUCUUGAAAAAUGAAUACAGUUUACCGAAAUCCAAAGGUUAUUAGCAAAAGGAUGCCUUUUUGGUUUAUGUAGUAUCAAUUUUGAGUGCUUAAGUUUUUGAAAAUAUCACUAUCCAAAGUUAAACAUGUGAAAGAAUGUGUAGUGAAGGAAAACUUUUUCAAUAUUUUUCUGUACUUUGUGUGUUUUCUUAAACAUUUUUAUAAGUCAAUUGUUGAAAAUGCUUCUUAUUUUUCAACUAGAGAAAUUAGCAAAAUUAAACAGAAUCUGCUUGAUAAACGAUUAAGAACCAUUGAAGAAUAUGGGAAAAUAGAAAUGGAACAAGUGUAACAAGAGUUGUAUGAGGUACUAAUAAUGGAGUUGUUACCUAUAUUUUUACUUCCUGAUCAAUGAGAUUAUUCAUGCAUAUGGAAAUUGCUUGGUUGCCAUGGUUACACUUUGUUGGAUUGUUUGACACUGGCUUAAUAACAAGGUCAUUCAUGAAUAGGCUGACUGAUCAUAAGUUGUCACAUAGAAGUGAAACAUCUUGAUUUAUGGUUAUCUGAUUUAUUGAAGAGUUUUUGCUAUACCAUUUUUAAAAAUUUGGUGAUGUUUUUCUAAAGUGUUAAUUGGUGUUUGAUGUGUCAAACUGAACAAACUUAAAUGAAGUUAUUGUGAUGUAAUAUUUCAUUAUAGAUAUCUUGGGAGUUUAUUACAUAUUACUACAGAGUAGAAGUUCUUACCUGCAGGCUUUAUGAACCUUUGUUCCAAUUGAAAAUGCUUUUAUAAUUAAUAAGACUAUAUUGAAGGUUUACAGAUUGUAUGAGAAUUUACCAUACAGUUCCAGAAGUACAUAUGCUGAAAUGAUUAUAUUUCUUUAUGCAGAUGAGAUCUGAUUUAUUUGUAGCAACUUUAGUAUACAAUUCAGCUUAAGAGAACUUAAGGAGUUAAUAAGUAGUGGUACAUGUAUGUUUUGUAAUUUUCGGUUAAAUGCUCAGUAAAGCUUCGCAUUUAAAGGGGCCGGAAUGUCGGGUGUGAAAUGUCGAGACUGACGUCAUAAGCGAUGAUUUCGAAGCGAAAUACAAGUUUGGCCAGUGAGGGCGUUGUCAAAGCGUGCUGCUAAAAAUUCUGAGUUUGGAGUUGUUUUGUUGCCCGACGAUGCCAUUGAUUUUGGUUUAAAAUUGUAUACAAGCCCAAUGAUACUGAACCUGCACAGUUGCACGGUACUUUACAUGGACUUGGCUAGUUCUGUCGUCGAUGGUGUCAGGGGUUGUACGUCACAAACAGCAAACAAGAUUUACAUACAAGAUGUACAAAGUGAAAGUAACUUAGACUUAGUGGUAGUGGCUGCAGAAUAAAUAUUUUAGAAGUUUGUUUUAUUCAUUUUUAAUUAAUGUUUUUCUUUAUAUUUUUCGGGCCACCAAAAAAAAUAAUUUGAAGGUUUUGGUGGCCCGAACGGGCCACCACCAAAAAAGUUAAUGUGGAGCCUUGUGUAAGGGCAUAAUAAAAUUCACCAAGGAUAUGUAAAAAAUUUUGAUCAGAUUAAUUAACACUAGACCUACAUUUAAAAUUUGGGUAUCAUUUUUUGUUUGGAUUUCUGACAGUAGCACUUGCUCACUCUCAGACUCAAUCAGUCACUCACUGCACUCAUUCAAUGAACAAGGUUAUUAUAUAACCUUGUUCUCUGUUAUAUCUCCAUGUGUGGCAAAAUAAGGGUGGCAAUGUUUGGCUUAUUUUCUCUUUUUCUUUGGGACAAAUGCUUGAUUUUUUUACACUGACAGUUUCCAUUACACCUAUUCAUCAUACAACUUGGCUCUUAAGUAAAUUUGAUUCUUUAAAUUAUUUUUUUCUUAAUUAAAAAUAGAGAUUGAAAAAUGAAAAUUUUCUUGCCAUAUUAUUUUCCACCAAUAGAGGGCGUACACAAAAAUAUGCCCAAAAUUCAAGUGUUUGAGUUCUCUGGUGAAUACGAAAAUUAUUCCCAAGUUACUAAUGAAAAACAAAUUGCAACUGUAUGGAAAUUAGUAAUUUUGGUCACAAAAGUGAUAUUUUAAUGAUUUUUUAAAGUGUGUGCUCUGUACAGCAUUGGCAUACCAUAGUCCUACCUGUAGAUUCCCCACAGGCAGGAUGGUUGCAGUGAGCUAGUGACUCACUGCAGGCAGUGCAAGUCCUGCCACAGCAGUGUGGUCUAUUGAUGGGGUGUCCAAACUUUGCGAACAUUUAAAAAACAUUCAUUAGGCCAAGUAAAAAAAGAAAGUAGUUGAUCGUCCUCGCGCGCAUCUAUUUUGGCCGCCGAAUGAAAUUUUUUACUAUUUACUAUAAAUUUUCAAAAAUAUCAAAAAGUGAUGUUUCUCGUCCGCGCCCGCUUCCCUUUUUGAUUUGCCGCAUCAAUUUUCUUGAUAUUAACUAUUUUUAUGGCCGCUGAAAAGCGAAAAAAAUUCACAAGAUUUGCCCUCAUGUGCUCUGGGAUCUCUUUCGCAACUUCAUAAAGUCCGAUAUCGCCGUAAUUGCAAGAAAGAAAAAAUUCUGAUUUGGUUUUUUAUUGGUAAUUUUGAAGAUACGAUCAUAAAUUAGCGAGAAAAUAAAGUUUGCAAACCCUGAAAAAAUCACGGAUCUCUUUUUCGGGGACCCCGCUUCCUGAAUCUUUUCAAAUCCGUCGCGUGCUUUGGAAAUAUGGUGCAGAUAAAUCAAAUUUAAUGACGUAAUUUGUAUUUCAGCAGGGUUUUUGGUGAGUGAUAGCGCCUGUACUUCGAUGUGUGUUGCGGUGAUUGACUGUGCUGGCGCGACAUGUGAAUUUGUGAAAUUUGUGAAAUGAUUUGAAUUUACUAGCGAGUUUUCUAACGUUAGCUAUCCAGCAGGCAAUGCAUUGAAUAUUACAAAAUAAUUUCAAGUGAGUUAUUUAUUAUCAAGAAAUUGAAAAUCAUUAAUGGGAUUCCAGUCAGUGCCUAUUCUGUUCAAAUUUGAUAAACUUCAUCCUUCCUUGAGCUAUUCAAUUUGAUGGACAGUUGUGAAAAUGUAAGUUAGUAAAUAGAUCUAACAGUUACAAAUAUUGAAAUAAUAAACAUUAAGUGAACAAUUAACAAUAAAUUAAAUAAUCAUUUAACAAUUGAUAUCAAUAAAAAAAAAUGAAUAGCAAUUGAAUAAACAGUAUUAAACAUUAUGUAAACGAAUAUACAAGCAGCUAGAGACUGCGAUGCAAAACCAUGCCCAGAGCUGAAAAAGAGAUUGGCUCUGGAAAACUGAACAUGGCUCCAUGGUAAUAAAAAUGACCCCCCCAAGCAUUUUUUUACCCUUAUACAACGUUCUCGCCAGGUUUACUCUGACGCUUGGCGGCGCGAAGCGACGCAAGCCGCGCAGCGGCCUCGGUGCGUGCGAAGCACGCACGGGGGGAAGGUUCGGGAGGGGGGUGUCCCCCCUCCUGCGCAAAGCGCGGUAGCUAUCGAAAAUAUCAAUAUCGACGAGCUUAGAUUGCUGCUAAAUGCACCACAUUUUAUGUCUAUUUAAUGCUUCUCCGGCCAAAAAAACAGCCGUAACGGUUGCGCGAAUUGCGAUUGAAGCAGAAAGGCAAUUACUGGUAACUUAAAAAUUGAAGUCAAUCUCAUUUUAUACUUACAGUUUAUAGACUAUUUACAUCGAUAAAUUAACUCCAUACUUUCCAAUGUUCAGAUCGAUAUCGCUACAUCCUUAGAAAGUGCGAUUAAUUAUGUGAAUGCGUGUUGUUUCUUAUGUCAAUGACCGACUGCAUCUACGGACCGCAUGCGUAGCCCUUUGAGCUUGCGCUGCGUCACGCCCUUACUAAAUCCAAAGAUUGUUCCGACUUUAUACCUCGGUCACAUUUGUUCUACGGCGGCCGUACGGCGAGUCGAAAACAGCCGUUUUAACAUUUUUUGUACCAGCUGAAUAUAGGUGGUUACCGUGGUUUAAAUAAAAAUGAAUAAAACGGCUGUUUUCGACUCGCCGUAGAGCAAAUGUGACCGAAGUAUUAUUUGAAAGCCUCGGAAGUUUUCUUCCGAGGCUUCCAAAUAAUGGGCAUCGGUAUUCAUGAGACGGGGUCCCCAACUUAUAUAAUUUGCAUGGUUUUUUUUUUGGUUUAUUCGAUACUCAUUGAAACUAUAACUCUCAUAAGACUUCUGUUGAUGUUUUAUAGACGUGUCUAUACUUCUACCGAUGAUGACGGCCGAAUAAUCUUUCUUACAUGUAUAUUUUGGUGAAUUUAAAAAAUAUUUUCUUGCACCAUGAGUGGGAUGAUCGAGGUACGUGAUUCAAUAAAUUGCAUCACAAUAUCACUAUAGGUGUAGUUUGAAAAUCACGAACAGUUUAUUAAAAAUGAAUAAAAGAGAAAGAUCUUCUUAAUUUUAUAGCCCCCAUCCAGCGUAAACACCAUGAAGAGUUUUUGAGGUCAUGAAAUCAGCUGAUUCGCACUCAAACAACAGGUUAACAGGUCACACACGUAGGACACAUUCCAAGGGCGGGAAUUCGGGGGAAACCCGUUUUCAAGCACAAUGAUUGGCUCAACCCAGAAAGUGAAUACUAAUUAGAUCACGUGCCAUCGGCUUUGGGGCGUCUCGUUCACAUUCCAACUCAUUUCAUAAAUAUCAUCCACUCGCAGUAUAAUUAGGCUAACGACGUUGCCAAGAUAUAACUCAUAUAUUAAAAGCACAAUUCCGAUAUAAAACAUAAAGACAUAAGUGAACUUGAAAAAUGCAUCCAACGAUAUUCAAAUUAUACUAGCAACUCAUUGUGGGCGUGAAAAAACGAUAUACAUAUCCGAUAUCCUCUAAAACGUUCACACAUAUCAACUUCAAUAAUUCGUACUUGAAACGAAUAUCUGCGAAUGAAUUGCCAAUUCCACUUUGUUGAAUGUGUACUUCUAUCGAAAUCUAUUGAAUCACGUACCUCUCCCGACCCAAGGUGGAUUUUCCAAUCGCCAUAUUAUGCAGCCACAAUCACAGUAGACACAUCCAUAAAUGAAUAUUAAUUUCAUUCGCUACGAACUUAAUCCCCUCCCCACAAAGUCACAAACAUCCCAUCAUUUUCAUCUACAUUGCCCACGGCCACCCCCCAUUCUCUUUUUUUCCUUUACACAAAUUAAUUUCAAAUGAUAUUUUGUUUUAAAUCGUAGUUAAGCAAUUGUACAACAAAUUCAUAAAGCAUUCACUGUGAUGACUAAAAACAUUUCCCAGGCCCGCGACAGGUGCGCUCAUUAUUUAAUUGGCAGGCAAAGAGUAAUAAAGAACAAUACAAAUGAGAAUACACUGUACGUAUAACUCACAUAAAAAAAAUGAGUCGUUAUGAUAAAAAAUGUGAAUAAUAUUAAUAAAGAUGAUUAAUUAUGAAAAUUAUAACAGAUUCAAUGAAUAUAUGAAAAAAAUCAAAUUAAAUUAGUUUUGGAUCCCAUCUAAUUUUGGAAGACUAUCGGAUCCCCGGAUCAAGGAUUUUGAUGCCAUGUGCGAUUUGUAUUAUGAAUGUGACCGUUGCGAGCGCGAGUGCAGUGGCACAUAACUUGGUAGACACGCCGCGGCCGUCGCGAAAUUAAUCAACAGUUUCAAAAGAUCGACGUAGAGAUCAAGACUUUGGAAAUAAUGGAGUAAAAUCGGAAUUUAAAUGUGAAUAAAUCAUUUUGAUGUAAGUAAAUGAGUUGGACAUUAUAUCAAUCCAUUCCAUUGGCUGCCUUUGUCAUUAUUAACGUGAUCUUUGAAUAGUUUUUCUCAAUUCGCUCUACGGCAGUGUCAUCAGAAAUGCAUUCAAUGAAUUCAUGUAGAUGUAGCUAUAAAGGCUAGGGCCUGGGACGAGAUGAAACUAUAUUUCGAUCGAAUUUUGAUAGUAAUUUUGACACACUUUAUUUUUGACAUAAUAAGUGACAAUAUCAACUGAAAUUCGUAAUAAUCUAAAUUACAUUGCCCAAGCCAGUAACCCACGAUACCCCUCUCCCCUCACUUGUUUUUGAGCGUAUUUACUACCAUUUUAAAGACGUAAAUAAUGUGAGCAAUGCGAUACGCAAAUGCGAGGUAAACAUCUUCGCGCUUCCCACAAAAGAGAUUGGGCCUCGAGUCAAGGUCGUAUCGUAUAUAGCGCACUAGUAGUAGUGAGUGAGUCAAAGAAAUCCCGGGAAGAAAUCGUGGACGAAAUAAUCGACAAGUUUAUUUUAGGAUCUGAAAAAGCAGAUUAUUUUUUUAUAUAUUAUUCAGUUUUUGUGUAGAUCUAGGCCUGCUUUACAGUUGUCGGCCACGGUUGUCGGGGAAGUUCAGGGUUGGCGGAUUUGCCCUGAAAAUUUUCAGGCUUGGCGGCGCCCGCCAACCGUGACGCGUGGUAGCGAGAACAUUGCCCUUAUAUAUAUAAUGUAGAAUAAUGUUUAAAUCUUCACUUGACAUGAACAUUUUGUUUUAAAAUAAUACAGUACCGGUAUACAUCAGUAAUACAUCAAUAAAUGUUUAUUGCAUAAUAUAUUUUCCAUAGAUUUCCAAUUAAUUGAAUAUAUAUAUAUAUUUGUUCAUAUUUGCAUAAUAUAUAUAUAUAUAUGUGUGUGUGUGUCUACUCAUUUAUUAUUAAUAUUGAGCAUGCAUCGAUUACCACAUAAAUCAAGCCUGCGAUGGCCUGACAAUCAUUUGAUUAAAAAAUAGCAAAAAAAAUAGUAAAUAGUAAGAACCUCCCUCAUCACUGAUGACAAAAAACGGGCCGAGAAAAUGACUCCCUGUUCAAAAAAAAAAUAAUUGAAAAAAUAACAAAUAGUAAGGACCUCCCUCAUCACUGCUCUCCAAAAACCUGGACGAUCAACUACUAUCUUUUUUUACUUGGCCUUAGGUUAAGAUUCGUUCAAAACUAUCCACAUUUUAUUAAAAAACCAAUUCAAAUAAUAGCAAUCAAAUUGACGGCAAGAUUGUAAACUAUAAAAUUAUUGACAAAAAUGUGAAGUAAGUCAAGGGGUUUCGCCUGUACCGUGAUCUCAAAAUCCUAUUCCGCUCGAUGAAUGUGCGUUGUGCUGAAAAUCCGUUCUGAAAAAGUGUGACCUAACUUUGCGGACCAAAGCUUUGUGGAGAUUUAAAGGACAAGUCCUCCCCAACAAAAAGUUGUUUAAAUAAAAAGAGAAAUCCAACAAGCACAACGCUGAAAAUUUCAUCAAAAUCGGAUGUAAAAUAAGAAAGUUAUGACAUUUUAAAAUUUCGCUUAAUUUCACAAAGCUCUUAUAUGCACAUCCUGGUCUGUAUGCAAAUGAGGGAACUGAUGACGUCAUCCACUCACUAUUUCUUUUGUAUUUUAUUAUAUGAAAUAUGAAUUAUUCUAACUUUCCCCUCUUUGUCAUGUGAAAGAAAUUUGUUCCUCUCUAGUCCAGGAUAGAAGGGGUCGAACCUUGUUUUUUUAUAUAUACAAUGUUUUUUUAUGGUUUCUUGUCAAUUCGAGGGUGCUGAUUCCGAAUCUGAAUGAUGCCACUCGUGUAACCUUGAGCAUUUUCUGCAAAUUGGCAAAAUCCAAUAUGGCCGCCAAAAUAUUCAAAUUACCCAUGAAAAUCAUAAAAUUGUCCCCACAUUGGCUUUAAAGUACAUGCAAUUGUGCUGCCGGAGUGAAAUAAUAUCUGAAAAAAUGAUUUUUGUCAAAAUAUUUAUUUUCUUGAUAUCAAAAUGGCCGCCAUCAUAGACCCCUGUACAAUAUGAAUGGGGAAAAUUAAUUUUUACAAAAUUGAGCACUGAAAUGCAAGUAAUUAUGAUCUAUGAGUGAAGCAAUGUCUGUAAACAUGAUUGCUAACGAUAUAUAUCAUUUGUUAUGUCAGUUAUGUGAUAAAUCCUGUAUUUUGAUAUUCAAAAUGGCCUUCAAAAGCCCUAACACUAUUAUGUACAAUGUGAAUGGUGACACAAAAAAAUCACAAGAGUGAGCACUAAAAUGCAUUUUGUUGAGAUAAACGAGUGGAAUACUGACUAAAAACAUUAUUGUUAAUGAAAUGUAUUAUUUAACAUGCCAUGUAUGUGAUAAACCCUGUAUUUUGAUAUUUAAUAUGACCACCAAAGGCCCUAAAAUUAUGAUCUACGAUGUGAGAGAGGACAAAAACAAUCACAAGGUGAGCACUAAAACGUAUUUUUUUGUGGUAAAUUAGUGGAAUACUGUCUUCAAAUAUAAUUUGCAACGAAAUAUAUUAUUCGGGUUUCAUAUUUGUGUUAAAUAUUGUAUUUUGACUUUCAAAAUGGCCGCCAAAAGAUAUUGACUGUAUUAUGUACAAUCGAUCUGGGAAACCAAUUUUCACAUGAGUCAGCACCAUAACAUGCAUAUAAUUGUGAUUUAAGAGUAAAAUAUUGUCUGAAAACAUAAUUUCUAACAAGAUAUAUCAUUCUUUCUGCCAGGUAGGUGAUAAAUAAUGUAUUUUGAAAGUCAAAAUGGCCGCUACAGGCCCUAACGGUAGGCCUUUUAUGUACUUUGUGAAUGGGAACAUAUAAUUUUAACAGAAUUUGGCUUUGCUUGACUAAAUGGUGUUGCAUGUAUGAGUGAAAUAUCGUCUGAAAAUAUGAUUUUGUAACCAAAUAGAUCAUUUCUUAUGUUAUUUAGGUGAUAAAUGCUAUAUUUAAAUUUCAAAAUGGCUGCAAUAUGUUUCUUUGUGGAAAUUAUCUUUCCCCAUUCAAAUGUUACAUAUUAAGAUAAGGGACUAUGGCGGCCAUUUUUCAUUUUUAAAAGGCUGCAUUCAUCACCUUUGUGACACAAGCUAUGAUAUAUUUCGUUAGAAAUCAUUGGGUUUAGACAAUACUUAACACUUACAUCAAAAUUAAGCCAUUUUCAUAGUAAAAAUUUUGUCAAAAUUAUCUGUCCCCAGUUACAAUGUACAUACUACUUUGGGCUAUGGCAGCAAUUUUGAAUUUCAAAGUAAGGCCUUUAUUACCUUCUCAACCAUUAUGUGAUGUAUUUAGUCAGAAAUCAUGUUCAAGACCAAAUUUUACCUAUACAUCACAUAGUUACGUGCGUUUUUGGUUCUCAUUCUGGUGAUGAUUAGUUUCCCUAUACGCAUGUUACAGAAAUUGUAGGGGUUGUGCGGCCGUUUUGAAAGUCAAAAUACAGUAUUUAUCACCUAUGGGAGAGGAAAUGUUAUAUUUCAUUAAAAAAAAAUCACGUUUUCAAACAAUAUUUUCCUUAUACAACAGAAUUAUAUGGAUUUCAUAGUCAGGCAAAUCCUAAUUCUGUCAAAAGUAUUUGUCCCCAUUUACAUUGUAGAUAAUACUGUAAGGGCCCAUAGGGGCCAUUUUGAAUUUUACAAUACAGCAUUUAUCUCAUGCAUGAAAAAUGAAAUGAUAUGUUUCGCCAGAAAUCAUGUGUUUAGACAAUAUUUCACUCGUAUUAAUUACAAUUACAUUCAUUUUAUUGUUUUUACUCUUGUGAAAAUUAGUUUCUUCAUUCGCUUUGUUCAUAAUACAGAUAGGGCCUAUGGCAGCCAUUUUGAAUGUCAACAUGCAGCAUGAUUACCGAAAUUGCAAGGGAAAUGAUAUGUUUCGUUAGAAAUCCUUGUUGUCAGACAGUGUUACACCAAUAUUUCGCAGUUAUUGGCAUUUUAAAGUCAAACAAAUUCAAAGGUUGUGAAAAUUAUUUGUCCCCUUUUAUAUAUUGUACACAGUAUAAGGGGUCUAUGACAGCCAUUUUGAAUAUCAUAAUACAGCAUUUAUCACAUUAGAUAGUAUACAAAUGACAUAGUUUUGUUAAUAGUCAUGUUUUCAGACAGUAGUCCACUCGCAGGUCACAAUCACAUGCAAUAAUAGUGCUCUUGUUUGAAAAAAUAUUUUCCCCAUUCAUAUUCUACAUAAUAAAGUAUACAGGGGUAAUGGCGGCCAUUUUGAAUAUCAAUAAAAAAAUUUUUUGUCAAAUAUCGCUUUUCCAAUUGGUAUUUCGCUUCUGCACAACAACUACAUGCAUUUUAUAGCUAAUGUGUUGGCAAUUUUAUGAUUUUCAUGGGUAAUUUGCAUAUUUUGGCGGCCAUAUUGGAUUUUGCCAAUUUGCGGAAAAUGCUCAAGGUUACAAGAGUGGCAUCAUUCAGAUUCGGAAUCAGCACCCUCGAAUUGACAAGAAACCAUAAAAAAACAUUGUAUAUCUAAAAAAACAAGGUUCGACCCCUUGUCUAUGGGGCCUAUCCUGGACUACUCUGAACAUGUGGAAUUACCAUUGUUUUUAACAUUUUAUGGUUCAAUCAAGUUGGUUCCUAUUGUCAAAUUUGUGAAAAGUGAAAUAUUGUGUAAUUUAAACAAUAAAAAAACAAAAGAAAAAGUGAGUGAGGGACAUCAUCGACUCUCUCAUUUGCAUGUUGCUGACUUGUUCAUAUAACUAUUUUGUGAAAAAUAAGCGAAACUUUAAAAUGCCAUAACUUUCUUAUCUAUAUCAAUUUUUGAUGAAAUUUUCAGCGUUAUGCUUGUUGGAUUUUUCUCUAUUGAUUCAAAUCAACAUUUUUCUGGGGUGGACUUGACCUUUAACAAAAAAUCAAGCUCAAAAGGUGAGAUAUUUAUAUCAGAUUGACGGAAAAAUGCUAUAGAAUUGGUCAGUACCACAUUUAACUCACAUUUUUUAUGAUAUCUGCUUGCAAAAUGAUGAUAUCUGCUUGCAAAAUGAUGAUAUCGUGAUGCUUGUUUAAAGAAGUUAAGAUUUCUUCGGAACGGGCGCUAACGGUGACAAAUUUCUCGCUCUUUUGUCAAUAUUUUCAUGAAUACUGAACUCAUCCUAAAGAAACUUACGCCAAUUUUACAGCAAAGCGAGGUACAAUGUCUUUUAUGUAUUUUUGCAUAUAUACAAAUGAUCUAUUUUGCUACAUUUCAGAAGUUAUAUGGAAUUUCUUAAACUUUUAAGUAAUUUUUAUUACGUUUUAGGACUUGAGGAUUAUUUUUAGUAUUUUUUCAUGACAAAGUAAAAGCUAUCUAAAUUCUAUGGUCCUACCUACUGACCGUCACUGCCGUUAGUCACUAUCUCCACGUUUUUUGCACAAAAAUUUGUGAAUUUUUAUUGAUUGAUUGAUGAAUGGAGUAGAUCUAGAUCUAAUGUUAGUCAGAUUAAAAUUUAAAUAUACUACAAGAUAAUUUCUGAUAGCCUAAUGGAUCUACUUGCUCACAGGAGGGAACUGGAUUUUUUUUUUUUAAGACUGGACCCAAAUCUUCAUCUAUAAAAAGAUUUUAAUUUAAAGAAGUUCACCCGGGGGCCCGUUUCUCGACACCGUCAUAAGUCUAACUUCCUGACUCAAUUGGAGCUACUUGUCCGAAGCCCUCUUUGCCAAGAUCAGGGACAACAACUUAGCUUAAUAUUUAUGACACCUCCAAACCUGUCAUAACUUCUUUCUUAAUGACGUAGUGGCAUCAUGUGGGUAGACUAUGACAUGCAAAAGUUCCACGAAAUUUGAAAAUUGUAAUCUUACGUAAUGAAUCAUAGAAGUUGAAAUUAUAUCGCAAAAAAAGUGGGAUACAUGUAGAUCAUUCAAUAAUAAUUGUAUUGCAUAGAAACCAUAAAAACUUAGUAAAACGCCUCAAAAGCAUUCAUUUGAAAUAGUAAAAUAAUUUAAAUCGAUAAAGAUUGUACUGUGUCAGGCCAUCCAUAACCAUCCAUAACUGGACUUAUAUUCGUUGUUUUCAGACCAUUAUCAACAUUUUGAUAAAUUCUAUCUCUAAUUUAUGCAUAGAAUUUGUCAAAUUGUAUGUUACGGUAUCUAAAGAUUUAAACAAUUUACAUAACACUAUAUUUUGAUGAUGUUUGGAAUCAUAAAAAAAUGUAUAAUUAUCAUUAUUUUACAAAGAAAACCUUUAUUGAUUACUUCCGUAAACUAUUGAAUUUGAUAUCCCGGGGGUACCCAUCUCAACAUCCACAAGUGAUUUUUUAUUCAUGAAAUGAAUUAUUCAUAAUUUAAUUUUCUCAGCAAUUGAAUGCUCCAUUCAUCAUACAUUGUAGUUUUAGUGUGUAGGGGAGAUUGGGGUAAGUUGAAACAUUGUAAUUUUCUUUAAUGCCUAUAAAUACAUUUAUGCAAUACUGCCCUCAAUUCAUUGCCAUUAUCCAUCCACCAUAUUACAUACAACACAUGUGCAACAACCCUGGUGAAGUUAGAAAGGAAUUUUUGUUUUUUCACCUUCUGAGUAAUUUUUUUCUCUUUCAGAAAUGUUUUAUUAUCUCAGAGAAGUUUAUAGAUCAAGUUGGCCAGUUUGGGAGUAUAAUAGACACUUGUACCAAGCUACAAAAUAAGGUUAUUAAUACGCCAUGGUGAAGUCCCUUUUUUGUGCUGUAAGCUUAUUUAUGUCAAAUGGGCCUCUGGGGUAAGUUGGAACAAAAUUGAAGGGGCUAUUUGGAACAUGUUCCAACUUACCCCAAACAUAAUUAUGAAUAAAAACAUUGGAUAUGAGAAAAAAAUGUUUACAGUAUUUCACACUCUUGAACAUUCAUUGUAAGCCAUGCUUGUUUUGUUUCUCAGUUAGGUCCAAAUGUGCAUUUAAGGCACCUAAUGCAAUAUUAACCCUUAUCAAAUGGGGGAGGGAGGGGCUCAAUUUGAGCCCCCCCCCCUCGACAAAUUUUGUCACUUAAGCCGUCGCCCAAAUUUUUUUAGUGUGACAAAUUUUGUCACUAAGCCGUUGCGCAAAAUUUUUUGACCGCACCGCUCGUUGACUUUUUACUUUCAAGUCUUGCGCAUCAUUUGAGACCAAAUUUGCGAUGCCUGGGUGUGUGGUAUCGAAAUUACACAACAUUUUGUACCUGAAUUUCGGACCCAAAAUUGCUCAAAAUCGUGAUUCCAUGUAUAACGUCAAUGCAAAUUGUGUUUUAACCAAAAAUCGUAAAUGUAUGAUUAUUUUUACUUUUGUUGGUUCAAAUGGAUUUAUUUUAUGCUAUUUAUGAUUGCAAAAGGGUUUCGACAAAUUU